AAAGUCGUAACAAGGUUUCCGUAGGUGAACCUGCGGAAGGAUCAUUAGAAAAAAAAAGGUCGUAACAAAUAUGGACGAUCAAAUCCAUAUCCACCUUGUGUGCACUCAUUGACCGUUUGCUUUGGCAGGAAAGGUGCCUUCGAUUGCUGAUCGAAGGCGCCGAGAGGUAUUUUCUUCCUCCUCUUUCACCUCUGAAGGUUGGAGAUCGAAAAGAAACCUUGGCCUGCCAGAGUUUUUCUUCUCAAAACUCACGCCUCUUUUGUUGGACUGAACCUUCGUCUCGAUUCUCUUGUAAUCGGUCGAAUCAAAUACAACUUUCAACAACGGAUCUCUUGGCUCUC
rnacentral:misc_RNA from 1 species